UACUAACUUGCGAUAAGCGCAGAUAAGGCAGUAAGAGCCGUUUGAGUCUGCGAUUUCCGAAUGGGGAAACCCAACUGCAUAAGCAGUUACUGUUAACUGAAUACAUAGGUUAACAGAGCAAACCGGGGGAACUGAAACAUCUAAGUACCCCGAGGAGAAGAAAUCAACCGAGAUUCCGGUAGUAGCGGCGAGCGAACCUGGAUUAGCCCUUAAGCACUCGGUGAAGUAGGUGAACAAGCUGGAAAGCUUGGCGAUACAGGGUGAUAGCCCCGUAACCGACGCUUCAUCGAGCGUGAAAUCGAGUAGGGCGGGACACGUGAUAUCCUGUCUGAAUAUGGGGGGACCAUCCUCCAAGGCUAAAUACUCCUGACUGACCGAUAGUGAACCAGUACCGUGAGGGAAAGGCGAAAAGAACCCCUGUGAGGGGAGUGAAAUAGAACCUGAAACCGUGUACGUACAAGCAGUAGGAGCACCUUCGUGGUGUGACUGCGUACCUUUUGUAUAAUGGGUCAGCGACUUAUAUUCAGUGGCAAGGUUAACCGUAUAGGGGAGCCGUAGCGAAAGCGAGUCUUAACUGGGCGCUCAGUCUCUGGAUAUAGACCCGAAACCGGGUGAUCUAGCCAUGGGCAGGUUGAAGGUUGAGUAACAUCAACUGGAGGACCGAACCGACUAAUGUUGAAAAAUUAGCGGAUGACUUGUGGCUAGGGGUGAAAGGCCAAUCAAACUCGGAGAUAGCUGGUUCUCCCCGAAAGCUAUUUAGGUAGCGCCUCGGACGAAUACUACUGGGGGUAGAGCACUGUUAAGGCUAGGGGGUCAUCCCGACUUACCAACCCUUUGCAAACUCCGAAUACCAGUAAGUACUAUCCGGGAGACACACGGCGGGUGCUAACGUCCGUCGUGGAGAGGGAAACAACCCAGACCGCCAGCUAAGGUCCCAAAGUAUUGCUAAGUGGGAAACGAUGUGGGAAGGCUCAGACAGCUAGGAUGUUGGCUUAGAAGCAGCCAUCAUUUAAAGAAAGCGUAAUAGCUCACUAGUCGAGUCGGCCUGCGCGGAAGAUGUAACGGGGCUAAGCA
rnacentral:rRNA from 1 species